GAUGAACGCUAGCGGCGGGCCUAACACAUGCAAGUCGAGGGGUAACAGAAGAAGCUUGCUUCUUGCUGACGACCGGCGAACGGGUGCGUAACGCGUAUGCAAUCUACCUCUAACUGGAGGAUAGCCCAGAGAAAUCUGGAUUAAUACUCCAUAGUAUUGUUCUUUCGCAUGUUAGAACAAUUAAAAUUUCGAUGGUUAGAGAUGAGCAUGCGUCCUAUUAGCUAGUUGGUAAGGUAAUGGCUUACCAAGGCUACGAUAGGUAGGGGGCCUGAGAGGGUGAUCCCCCACACUGGUACUGAGACACGGACCAGACUCCUACGGGAGGCAGCAGUGAGGAAUAUUGGUCAAUGGACGAAAGUCUGAACCAGCCACGCCGCGUGAAGGAUGAAUGCCCUAUGGGUUGUAAACUUCUUUUGUAUGGGAAGAAACCUUUCUACGUGUAGAGAGCUGACGGUACCAUACGAAUAAGCACCGGCUAACUCCGUGCCAGCCGCCGCCGUAACAC
rnacentral:rRNA from 1 species